GUGGGAGGGGGCUUGCUCCCGAAUGCGGUGUGUCAUUGAAGCCUCAUUGACUGAUACACCGCAUUCGGGAGCAAGCCCCCUCCCAC
rnacentral:antisense_RNA from 1 species